UGGGGGGGGGGGCCUUAUAAUGCAAGUCGAGCGACAGACGAGGAGCUUGCUCCUCUGACGUUAGCGGCGGACGGGUGAGUAACACGUGGAUAACCUACCUAUAAGACUGGGAUAACUUCGGGAAACCGGAGCUAAUACCGGAUAAUAUAUUGAACCGCAUGGUUCAAUAGUGAAAGACGGUUUUGCUGUCACUUAUAGAUGGAUCCGCGCCGCAUUAGCUAGUUGGUAAGGUAACGGCUUACCAAGGCAACGAUGCGUAGCCGACCUGAGAGGGUGAUCGGCCACACUGGAACUGAGACACGGUCCAGACUCCUACGGGAGGCAGCAGUAGGGAAUCUUCCGCAAUGGGCGAAAGCCUGACGGAGCAACGCCGCGUGAGUGAUGAAGGUCUUCGGAUCGUAAAACUCUGUUAUUAGGGAAGAACAAAUGUGUAAGUAACUAUGCACGUCUUGACGGUACCUAAUCAGAAAGCCACGGCUAACUACGUGCCAGCAGCCGCGGUAAUACGUAGGUGGCAAGCGUUAUCCGGAAUUAUUGGGCGUAAAGCGCGCGUAGGCGGUUUUUUAAGUCUGAUGUGAAAGCCCACGGCUCAACCGUGGAGGGUCAUUGGAAACUGGAAAACUUGAGUGCAGAAGAGGAAAGUGGAAUUCCAUGUGUAGCGGUGAAAUGCGCAGAGAUAUGGAGGAACACCAGUGGCGAAGGCGACUUUCUGGUCUGUAACUGACGCUGAUGUGCGAAAGCGUGGGGAUCAAACAGGAUUAGAUACCCUGGUAGUCCACGCCGUAAACGAUGAGUGCUAAGUGUUAGGGGGUUUCCGCCCCUUAGUGCUGCAGCUAACGCAUUAAGCACUUCGCCUGGGGAGUACGACCGCAAGGUUGAAACUCAAAGGAAUUGACGGGGACCCGCACAAGCGGUGGAGCAUGUGGUUUAUUCGAAGCAACGCGAAGAACCUUUACGAAAUCUUGACAUCCUCUGACCCCUUCUAGAGAUAGAAGUUUUCCCUUCGGGGGGACCGAGUGACAGAUGAUGCAUGGCUGUCGUCAGCUCGUGGUCGUGAGAUGUUGGGCUUAAGUCCCGACACGAGUCGUCAUCGUUAGCCUUAGUUGCCAUUCACUCAGUUGGGUCACCUCUAACCUCGACUGCUCGGCGUGCAUCAU
rnacentral:rRNA from 1 species